rnacentral:rRNA from 1 species
UACGAAGGGGGCUAGCGUUGCUCGGAAUCACUGGGCGUAAAGCGCACGUAGGCGGGUUGUUAAGUCGGGGGUGAAAGUCCAGGGCUCAACCUCGGAACUGCCUUUGAUACUGCAAAUCUCGAGUCCGGAAGAGGUGAGUGGAAUUCCUAGUGUAGAGGUGAAAUUCGUAGAUAUUAGGAAGAACACCAGUGGCGAAGGCGGCUCACUGGUCCGGUACUGACGCUGAGGUGCGAAAGCGUGGGGAGCAAACAGG